rnacentral:rRNA from 1 species
GAUGAACGCUGGCGGCGUGCCUAAUACAUGCAAGUCGAGCGAACGGACGAGAAGCUUGCUUCUCUGAUGUUAGCGGCGGACGGGUGAGUAACACGUGGAUAACCUACCUAUAAGACUGGGAUAACUUCGGGAAACCGGAGCUAAUACCGGAUAAUAUUUUGAACCGCAUGGUUCAAAAGUGAAGGACGGUCUUGCUGUCACUUAUAGAUGGAUCCGCGCUGCAUUAGCUAGUUGGUAAGGUAACGGCUUACCAAGGCAACGAUGCAUAGCCGACCUGAGAGGGUGAUCGGCCACACUGGAACUGAGACACGGUCCAGACUCCUACGGGAGGCAGCAGUAGGGAAUCUUCCGCAAUGGGCGAAAGCCUGACGGAGCAACGCCGCGUGAGUGAUGAAGGUCUUCGGAUCGUAAAACUCUGUUAUUAGGGAAGAACAUAUGUGUAAGUAACUGUGCACAUCUUGACGGUACCUAAUCAGAAAGCCACGGCUAACUACGUGCCAGCAGCCGCGGUAAUACGUAGGUGGCAAGCGUUAUCCGGAAUUAUUGGGCGUAAAGCGCGCGUAGGCGGUUUUUUAAGUCUGAUGUGAAAGCCCACGGCUCAACCGUGGAGGGUCAUUGGAAACUGGAAAACUUGAGUGCAGAAGAGGAAAGUGGAAUUCCAUGUGUAGCGGUGAAAUGCGCAGAGAUAUGGAGGAACACCAGUGGCGAAGGCGACUUUCUGGUCUGUAACUGACGCUGAUGUGCGAAAGCGUGGGGAUCAAACAGGAUUAGAUACCCUGGUAGUCCACGCCGUAAACGAUGAGUGCUAAGUGUUAGGGGGUUUCCGCCCCUUAGUGCUGCAGCUAACGCAUUAAGCACUCCGCCUGGGGAGUACGACCGCAAGGUUGAAACUCAAAGGAAUUGACGGGGACCCGCACAAGCGGUGGAGCAUGUGGUUUAAUUCGAAGCAACGCGAAGAACCUUACCAAAUCUUGACAUCCUUUGACAACUCUAGAGAUAGAGCCUUCCCCUUCGGGGGACAAAGUGACAGGUGGUGCAUGGUUGUCGUCAGCUCGUGUCGUGAGAUGUUGGGUUAAGUCCCGCAACGAGCGCAACCCUUAAGCUUAGUUGCCAUCAUUAAGUUGGGCACUCUAAGUUGACUGCCGGUGACAAACCGGAGGAAGGUGGGGAUGACGUCAAAUCAUCAUGCCCCUUAUGAUUUGGGCUACACACGUGCUACAAUGGACAAUACAAAGGGCAGCGAAACCGCGAGGUCAAGCAAAUCCCAUAAAGUUGUUCUCAGUUCGGAUUGUAGUCUGCAACUCGACUACAUGAAGCUGGAAUCGCUAGUAAUCGUAGAUCAGCAUGCUACGGUGAAUACGUUCCCGGGUCU